CCAGACUCCUACGGGAGGCAGCAGUGGGGAAUAUUGGGCAAUGGACGCAAGUCUGACCCAGCAACGCCGCGUGAAGGAAGAAGGCUUUCGGGUUGUAAACUUCUUUUAAGGGGGAAGAGCAGAAGACGGUACCCCUUGAAUAAGCCACGGCUAACUACGUGCCAGCAGCCGCGGUAAUACGUAGGUGGCAAGCGUUGUCCGGAUUUACUGGGUGUAAAGGGCGUGCAGCCGGGAAGACAAGUCAGAUGUGAAAUCCCGCGGCUCAACCGCGGAACUGCAUUUGAAACUGUUUUUCUUGAGUAUCGGAGAGGUAAUCGGAAUUCCUAGUGUAGCGGUGAAAUGCGUAGAUAUUAGGAAGAACACCAGUGGCGAAGGCGGAUUACUGGACGACAACUGACGGUGAGGCGCGAAAGCGUGGGGAGCAAACAGGAUUAGAUACCCCCGUA
rnacentral:rRNA from 1 species